GCGGAGAGAAACAGAGAGACGGAGGGAUGGAAAGUCAAGCCGCCGAGUGAGAAGGGCAGGCAGUUGGUAAGAUCUGGUGGUGGCAGCUCGGCUGUUAUGUCUAGAGAGGAGGCAGGAAGCGACUCGGUAAAACUUUCUUUCUGCAUCGUGUGAUACGACGUUCCAAAAGAGGAGCUCUGAACUGUCUCAAACCGCAACAAUAAAUAAAAAAUUAUGCGAUGAAAUAAGGUGUCAAAUUUUCCGCUCGUCCACAGGAAACUCUUCCCCGCAGUAAAAAGAGCCUCGCAUCAAACAGAGACAAACAGACUCCCUAUGCUUUCCUCCUUAUCUGCCUCAGGCAGCAGCUCUGUAGUGAACAACUGCCUCAAGAAAAUGAGCUGGAGGUGGACUCCAGAUGUACAGGCUGGUCAAAAUGCAGACACACAACAGCAGCUGGAGCAAGGCAAGGAAGCAGCUCUGUAGUUCGUCUUCGGGUACAAAACACACAAAGUAGCAGCAUUAGGUCCUCACAGGACUGACUGGACUGCACCUUCUGCGGAGGAGCCACAAUCUCACAGCUUGAAGCCCGUUGGGUCGGAUUGACGUGUGAUCUCCCAAACCUCCGGAGAAUCCCCGCCGCCUUAAAAGACGCCAUUAAGGACGACUGGUUGUAAAAAUAACCCCUUGUUGGUGUGUUUAUCAUCAUCAGCUGACGGCCGCACUGACGAACCUCGACGCUGGAAUGUGUGUUAUUAGCCAGGCAAAGGGAGCUUUUUCACACUGUACUACAUUACCGGGGCAUAACACCAUUACCAUACCAUCAUCAUGGUAUUAUCACAGCAUGCCUCUCAUGAUGGUAAGGACACGCGGGGCAGUGUAUAAUCAUGCAUGUGACUGCUAAUUAACUGAAAUAUGCAGACUUCCUUUAUGGGAAUAAAAGUGUGAAUGUGAUUGAAAUACUUCUGUUUGAAGAAUGUCACACAUCUGCAUGAGCUGUAUUUGUCUUUUUCUUUUUUGGUCUUGUCAGGAUGACCAUCAGACAGCCGCCGCCGUUUCCCUUUGUUGUUUAUCCAGCUUUCAUGUGUUCCCAUUUGUGUGAAAACCCUGCACCGACCCGACCUCAGGAAGCAGGUUAGGAUCAUCAACGUGUGCCCGAAAAAAGAUUAAAUUUGUGUGAAAUUGGUUUAAAUAAAACGAGUGAUCAGCGUUUAGUUGGUUUGCUCUGAAAGGUCUAUUUCAGCCGCGACAGGUUCAGGGCCAGGGCUACGGAGAGCUGAGAGGGAUCAGCAGCUGCCCGGUCUCCGUCGGCCGUGACGCUAAUUAAACAUUAACUGAUAGAAAAAGCCUCCUCCACACUCUAAUUAUUCCCCAUUUCAAGUCUAAUUUCACCAAUCAGUGCCAUCUUUAUUUCUGAGAGCAAAUUUGGCAGUAAUCAUUUUCUAGUGGAGAUUUCCCUGCUUCUAAUUGUUGAAGAUGAUUUAGUCAUUAUCAGGACGCUGGCUACCCUUAUCUGUCAUCGCACGGGGCAAAUUUAUCCAGAGAUUGCGCUCUGAGAAAUUAAGCCCAACGCUGUAAUGAAUUUUUAAAGUGAUGACUUAUGUCGUAGUUUGACUGAAUAUCUCAAGCAGGAAAUGAUUUCUUUCUUCUUUUUUCUUCUUUUUUUUGCAGCAUAGAGUAGAAAUCUCAAAACAUUUAAUGCAAAAUAUUUGUAUAAAAAAAUCAUACAGAGCAUGGUGACCAUCGACACAGUUUUCGGUGCAGCGACUUUUAGCAGUGGCAUGUUAAUUCAGUUCUUUAUUAGCUUCGUUUACUUCCUAGCUCGCGCGUGGAUCAGAAUUUCUACCAUUUAUUACAAACACCACAAAAAUAUCAGCGCAGCUAUACACAUAGCAAAUUCACAUUCAAAUAAUCAACGGUAAAAAGUACAAAAGAAACACCGGGAUGUGAAGGAAAUCCUAGAGACAAAACAUCAAGGACGAGAAGACACUUUGAAGGGGAGUUACUUCCUUUUCCUGUUUGUCAGCUUCAGCUUCCUGUUCCUCCGUCUGGCCGGUCAAGGUGAUCCCUUCUUUAUUUCCUCCAUUUUAUUCAGACUGUGCAAAAUGCAGGUCAGCGCCGCUUUCGUUGCCGGGGCGUCGGUGAUUUUACAAAACAUUUGGCACUACGCUACUUCCGUACAUCUGUGUAAUUCAUUUAACCGCCCUUCAUUUCGUUUCUACAUAUAAAAUAUGGGUCAUGUGCUUUCAGCUGAAAAUAUUUUCCAAUCUUAACACAUCAUUCAUUCACACACACAUACAUAUAUAUAUAUACACACACACACACACACACACACA